rnacentral:rRNA from 1 species
AAACGGACAGAGCCCGUGAAUCCGGGCGACGGAAUUCAGAAUCGACGGCGUUCGCGCGUCGUCGGUUCGAUAUUUCCGUCGCCGCGCAACAAUGGACGUCGCGACCCGUUCGGUGUCGGUCCGAGGAGACGUGUAAAAGUUCUUUGGCGCGUCGUCGAACCGUUUCGGCGGUUAGGCGCGCGCGUCGGCGAGUACGCGUCUUUCUGGCCGACUCGCCGGACGGUAUACGUAACGGUGGCCGCGGCGACCUUUAAGAUUUUUCUAGCGUCGUCGUUUCGGUGCCGGUCUGCGACGAAUCUUC